GCUCCACGUGUCCACCUGCAGUAGGAGGAACCAGCAGGUGAAUGCUGGUUGUCUUCACCAGAAACCUUUACUGCUGCCCUCCCGCCACCCGAGUGGACAGCGGCAGCCCCUUGUAAUUGUGGGUUGGAAUAUUUAAUAUGAAGUUGGCAGUAUUCUCCAAAGCAAUCUACAGAUUCAAUGCGAUCCCUAUUAAGGCAAGUGGUGAGGAAUGGAAGGAAAUGAAGAUGGAGACAGGCUGCCAGGAAACUGAAGGCUCUUCUGUCAUGCCGGGUCUCCAGCUGCUGGCGCUCAGGGGCUGUGAUCAUCUCCUCUAUUUCUUGCAGCUGCGCUUCCUCUGCACCUGUGGC